rnacentral:tRNA from 1 species
GCGGAUGUAAUACAAUGGUAGUAUGGGAGCUUCCCAAGCUCCACACGCGGGUUCAAUUCCCGUCGUCCGCU